UUUAUUCUAGGUCAAAAUAGGUCAAAGAACCUUAGACAAAAAAUUUGAGAAUUUUUAGAAAGUCAAAGGUAUUUAAAAAUAUUUAAAAACAAGUCAAAAACUAUUUAAUUCACAAAAAAUAUCAAAUCUAAUCCAAAAAAUGAUUCUAAUUCAAAAUAUGGAAGAGAAAACAAUUUAAAGAUUUUUGGUGAAAGUCCCAUAGUUUUUGGAUUAAAAAUGAAAAUG
rnacentral:lncRNA from 1 species